rnacentral:rRNA from 1 species
UACGGGGGGGGGCAAGCGUUGUUCGGAAUUACUGGGCGUAAAGGGUUCGUAGGUGGCCAACUAAGUCAGACGUGAAAUCCCUCGGCUUAACCGGGGAACUGCGUCUGAUACUGGAUGGCUUGAGUUCGGGAGAGGGAUGCGGAAUUCCAGGUGUAGCGGUGAAAUGCGUAGAUAUCUGGAGGAACACCGGUGGCGAAGGCGGCUCUCUGGACCGAUACUGACGCUGAGGCGCGAAAGCGUGGGGAGCAAACAGG